rnacentral:rRNA from 1 species
AUUGAACGCUGGCGGCAGGCCUAACACAUGCAAGUCGAGCGGAUGAAGGGAGCUUGCUCCUGGAUUCAGCGGCGGACGGGUGAGUAAUGCAUAGGAAUCUGCCUGGUAGUGGGGGAUAACGUCCGGAAACGGGCGCUAAUACCGCAUACGUCCUGCGGGAGAAAGUGGGGGAUCUUCGGACCGCACGCUAUCAGAUGAGCCUAGGUCGGAUUAGCUAGUUGGUGGGGUAAAGGCCUACCAAGGCGACGAUCCGUAACUGGUCUGAGUGGAUGAUCAGUCACACUGGAACUGAGACACGGUCCAGACUCCUACGGGAGGCAGCAGUGGGGAAUAUUGGACAAUGGGCGAAAGCCUGAUCCAGCCAUGCCGCGUGUGUGAAGAAGGUCUUCGGAUUGUAAAGCACUUUAAGUUGGGAGGAAGGGCAGUAAGUUAAUACCUUGCUGUUUUGACGUUACCAACAGAAUAAGCACCGGCUAACUUCGUG